rnacentral:rRNA from 1 species
GACGACGGCUGGCGGCGUGCUUAACACAUGCAAGUCAAAGGGUAAAGCGCCUUCCUUUUUGGUGGGUGUGGUAGAGGGGCGAAGGGGUGAGUAACACGUUAGUACCCUGCCCCCUUCUUCGGGAUAACCGCAUGAAAGUGUGUCUAAUACGGGAUAUUCUGGGCCUGUCGCAGGAGGGGUCUGGGAAGGAUAUUGUUUCGGUGGGGGAUGGGCGCGGGGCCUAUUAGCUUGUUGGUGGGGGGAUGGCCUACCAAGGCGGGGCCGGGUAGCCGGCCUGGGGGGGUGGACGGUCUCAGUGUGACUGAGACCCCGCCCUGACUCCUACGGGAGGCAGCAGUGGGGAAUAGUGCACAAUGGGCGCAAGCCUGAUGCAGCGCCGCCGCGUGAGGGAUGGAGGCCUUCGGGUUGUGAACCUCUUUCGCCAGUGAAGCAGGCCUGCCUCGUUUGUGGGUGGGUUGACGGUAGCUGGAUAAGAAGCGCCGGCUAACUACGUG